GUGUCUUGUACAGCACGGCACUGACUGUGACAAGCGUGCGGGGCCCCGCCGACAGCAGAGAGGGCCCCCAGUACUGAGCAGAGGGAGGAGUCUGAAGGAGCCUCCCGGAACCCCAGCUGAAUGCCAGAGCUCCACCCUUCUCAGAAGCUGCCCACUCACCCCAUACACAGGCCUUGUUGGUGCAAUAAACUGAUCCCAAAGACA